rnacentral:rRNA from 1 species
UACGGGGGGGGCAAGCGUUGUUCGGAAUUACUGGGCGUAAAGGGCGCGUAGGCGGACAGUUUAGUCAGAGGUGAAAGCCCAGGGCUCAACCUUGGAAUUGCCUUUGAUACUGGCUGUCUUGAGUUCGGGAGAGGUGAGUGGAAUGCCGAGUGUAGAGGUGAAAUUCGUAGAUAUUCGGCGGAACACCAGUGGCGAAGGCGACUCACUGGCCCGAUACUGACGCUGAGGCGCGAAAGCGUGGGGAGCGAACAGG